AUUGAACGCUGGCGGCAUGCCUUACACAUGCAAGUCGAACGGUAACAGGUUAAGCUGACGAGUGGCGAACGGGUGAGUAAUGUAUCGGAACGUGCCCAGUCGUGGGGGAUAACUACUCGAAAGAGUGGCUAAUACCGCAUACGACCUGAGGGUGAAAGCGGGGGACCGUAAGGCCUCGCGCGAUUGGAGCGGCCGAGAUCAGAUUAGCUAGUUGGUGAGGUAAAAGCCCACCAAGGCGACGAUCUGUAGCUGGUCUGAGAGGACGACCAGCCACACUGGGACUGAGACACGGCCCAGACUCCUACGGGAGGCAGCAGUGGGGAAUUUUGGACAAUGGACGCAAGUCUGAUCCAGCCAUGCCGCGUGCGGGAAGAAGGCCUUCGGGUUGUAAACCGCUUUUGUCAGGGAAGAAACGAGUUUCUCUAAUACAGAGACUUAAUGACGGUACCUGAAGAAUAAGCACCGGCUAACUACGUGCCAGCAGCCGCCGUAAAAC
rnacentral:rRNA from 1 species